UCAAGCAGCCCAAAGGAGGCCAACAAAAGGUUUCCAGAGGGCCAAGGGCUAGUUGCAAGUUGUUUUGUAACAAAAAUUAUCAGACAAGAUACCAAAAGUGGCAUGCAGUACUCACUCAUGAGAAGACAGGAAAGCUUGGAGAAGAUCAUGAUGCUGGAGAAAAUGGAAUGAAAAAGGAAGAGGGUUUGACCAAGGGCAAGAUGGAUGGAUGGUAUCCGUGAAGUGACUAGCUUGACCUUGAAGGAGCUGGAGGUGGCAAUGGCCCGACAGGGAGCUCUGCCCUGGGCUGAUCCAUGCCACAAAGAGUCAGAAGCGUCUGAACGAAUAAACAACAAACGUCUGGAAAGAGAAUGAUGUAAUUGGAACAAAUGCAGGUGAAAAGGAAAAAAAACACCCCUUUUUCUUAUGAGAACUCCAUCUGAGCAACAAGAAAGACGAUAACUACUGGAAUUCUAAGAGUCCACAUGGCAUAAUGGUUUCAAUAUGGGAAGGCUAAAGACCUCAUAAAACUACAAAACCCAGUAUUCCAGACUGGCUCAGCACUGCAUAGAAUUACCGACUGUUAGGAAUUGUGGGAGCUGGAGUCCAAAACACCUGGAAGGCUGAAGUUUGCCCAGGUCUGCUAUAGACUGUACAUCAUCCAAAGUGCCAGUUAUGUCCCUGCAUUGCUAAGGAAUAAAAGGAAAGAAGAAGGCCAUCAGCAUGAAACAAAAACCUGGGCCCCCCAUUAUCAGCUUCCAGUUACCCCAAGGGUUCAGACAGCAUCUUCUGCAAGCUACAUCUCUACCAAACCAUCUUGAGACACAUGGCAACUGUAUCUGAGCAACACACAAUGUUGUCAUCAACCCAAGGAAGUCUGCAAAAUGUCAUAGCUAAUGUCAAUAAUGUUUUCCCUGCCAUCUGGUUCAGUUUUAGAAGAUCAUGUCCAGAAGAACACACAGAUUAGAUUCAGCUAACAAAGACUCACAAUGCAUGAAAACAAAAGGAAUCUCCAUUAAUGCAACAUAUAAAUGUCUCUUCCUACAA